rnacentral:lncRNA from 1 species
UGGGUAUUAUAUUAAUAAAUGAUACAACUCGGAACAGCCAGAUGGAAGAGGUGAAUUGCGCAGGGUAUGGGGGAAGGGCCUUGAGCUGCCAUGCCCCUCAGAGUACACCCCCUCCCAGCACCUCCAUGUGUUCACCAGCCCCAAAGCUCAUCAAGUCUCUUUGUUGAAGGGUUUUGAUAAAGAGUAGUUUCCAGUGCCCCUCCCACCCAGAGGUCAGUGGGUGGGGCUGAAAGUUCCAAGCCUGUAAUCCCUUAGUCUUUAUGGUGACCAGCCCAUCCUGAGGCUCCCUAGUGGCCCCAUCCUAAGUUGCCUCAUUAGCAUAAAUCAGGUGUGACCAAAAGGGCUUGUUAUGAAUGACAAAGAUAGUCCUAUCACCUCUGUAACUCAGGCAGUUCCAGGGGCUUUAGAAGCUUUGUACAGAACCCAAAUAUAACAAAGGAUGCUUCUAUCACCCUUAUCUUUCAUGAAAUUACAAAGUUCUAGGAUCUCUGUGACAGGAACUGAGGACAAGGACCAAAUAUCUCUUAUACCACAAGAUACUAUAUUCUGUUGAAUUUCCUUGGCAUUCUUUUUUACUAGUUCCUCCUCAUGUUCCUGUAGCAGGACGAGCCGUGGACAAAACCCCAUAGACACCGAGAUAGUGAAGGAAGUAGCUUUAAUCCUCUGGAAGCAUUGGCAGACUAGCGUCUUAAAAUCCGAGCUUGUUGAGUGCACAGUUUCUGUCCCUUUUAAGGGCUCACAACACUAAAGAUUUUACAUGAAAGGGCCGUGAUUGAUUGAGCAAUCUAGGGGGUAUGUGACAGGGGCUGCAUGCACCGGUAAUCACAGUGAAACAGAACAGAACGAGAAGUUUCACAAUGUCCUUCCAUACAAUGUCUGGAAUCUAUGGAUAACAUUGGUUGCUAGGUCAUGGGUUGAAUUUUAACUAUCAGGCUAAGGUCAGGCAGGCCCAGGCCUGGUUUUGGGUCUGGUGCCUGGCACCCAGCUGCCUGCCUUUGGUUUCGCUUCCUUGUUUCUUCUUAAAACAGGUACUGAGUAUAAAACAAUAUAGAACAAUAUGGGGGGGUCUCUUUCUCUCUUCUCUCAUUUCCCCCCUUUGAGACUCUCACUCAUUUUGUUAGUGGGAAUUCUCACUUUCAUUUUCACUACUUAUGUCUUCCUGUGCAAUAGAUCGAUAGUGAUUCAUAUAAUAUACUUGUGCUGAAGCAUUCUGGUGAACUAAGGUAGCAAUGAAGCUUUUUAUCAUUUGAAGAAGUACAGGUAGCAAACAAGGGAGUAGUAAGCAGGUUCCUAUUACUAUUAUAACUCCUAUUAUAAGAGUUUUAAAUCCUCCUAUUGCUGGGAACCAAUUUCCAAACAUGGCCCCAGGAUCAAAUCCGUGCCACACUUGCACAUAUACAUGUGCCAGUUUUGUUGUAUUUUUAACUAUGUCUUCAACUACUUGCCCUUGAUCAUCUAUGUGUAGACAGCAAUUAGUAAGGUUAAAUUUUCCACAAACUCCUCCUUCAGCUGCUAGCAAGUAGUCGAGAGCUAGUCUAUUUUGGUAGAUAGCAUUCCUCAUCUGAGUCUCUUGCCAGGCAAGAACAGUCAAGGCUUGACCGGUUUUAUUAGCAAUAAUUUCUAAAACAGCUUGCAAACGUAUGAUUCAGUUGAGCAUGUAGAUGGGGGUCUGAUAUCCUCACGAGCCAUCUUGUGCCCAAGUGGCGGGCCCAUAGUAUUGUAUAAUUCUUUCAGGGGGCCAUUCAUCAUCUUUGCAGUUACCUAUGGCUAUGCUUUGUUUUUUGCGGGAAGCAUAGAAGGGAAUCCUAGGAGUUCGCCUGUUUUUAUGGGCAGUAGGAAGAAAGACGGUUUAAUAGUGCCAAUUACACAGCUACCUGUCCACUGAUCAGGUAGCUUAGCAUAGGCUCUAUGUCCACAUAUCCAGUAUAACCCAGUGGGGGCAGUCCAGUCCCGGUGGAAUUCUGGGUGGGUCCAAACAGUCUGCAAUUUUGGAAAUUUACUGAAUGGAUCUUUUUCUGUGUAAUUGGAACUCCACCAUGUAACUGUUUUUGUGGUACCAUUAUACAGUUUUUGUCCAAGACAACUAAGCCGUCCUACAGGAUGAGUGAACUCUUUUCCUUCUCUAGCUAUGCAAUAUUGUCCAAUAAUUGAGGCUUUUAGAACCCAGAAAUUGUCAGGACUAGGAUGCGGUUCUCUAGAUUGGGAAAAAAGCUAUACAGCAUAAAAUAAGUAUAUCUGCCAUGAAUCAUAUUCAUGUACAAAUGUGUGUCAAUACUGGUCUUGUGUCAUCUGGGCUACUUGGAAAAAAGAUAAAAAAGAUCUUGUUUGGCUCCAAAAAGGAAAAAGUAGCCCCUCCUGCACAAGUGGAAGCUGCAACCCUUUAGAAUUAAUAAUUACAAAUCCCUCAGACCCAAAGUGGGAAAAAGGAGAACACGUAUCUCUAGGCAUUGAUGGAAAAGGACUAGACCCUAAGGUCAACAUUUUAAUAAAAGGAGAAAUUCGAAAACGCUCUCCAGAGCCAGUAUUUCAGAGUUUCUAUGAAGAACUAAAUGUGCCAGUACCUGAAAUUCCAGGAAACAGUAGAAAUUUGUUUUUGCAAUUAGCUGAGCAUGUAGCUCAGUCUCUGAAAGUCACUUCAUGUUAUGUUUCUGGAGAGAACCGCAUCCUAGUCCUUGCUGAUUACUAUUAAUAGUGGCACAAGCGUCAAAUUUUAGAGUUACAUGUUUGGGAACCCCUCUUUCUUCUGCUCUAGCUAUUACUUUACUUGUGUCACCUAGAAAAGGACCAGUCCUUAGUCUUGUUUCAAAAACCGUGAUCAUGGGAGGUUCAGAGGGGUCAUAGCACACAUCAGGCUGCCCACUUCCUGGAUUACAUACUUUGUACUGAGUGUUAUUAUAUAAACAUGUUCCUUAUGGAGUUCCUGGGCACUCAUAAUAACUAUGGAACAAAAAGAUUGUUUUAACCUGUUGUCCUACCUCAGUGACCUGAUGUAGCCACUGAAAGCAGUCUUCCAUGUGAAAAGAAGCAGUGGAAGCUUUUACCCCACAAGUCCAUGUCAUAAGGAAAAUAAGUCCCAUGACGAUUUUCCUCAUGCUUCGGCCGUGCGCGGACCCGUCAGCUUCCGGGUGUGACUGGAGCAGGGCUUGUCGUCCUCCUCAGGGUCACUUUACAGGGAUUGUCCAGGCUUGGUUUGGCCCUCCAGGUUUCAGGGGCUGCGGGAUUUUUUUACGUGGCUGUGGUGAACCCAGGCCGGGAUUCUGUCCACCUUUACAGCUGUGGGAGUGGUCAGGAUAACGAUCUGCGUUCCUUUCCACCGUGGCCGUGAAGGAGCUACGUUCCAGUCCUUGAUCCACACAUGGUCACCUGGAGAAAAAGGGUGAACUGGGGAGAGUAAGCUGACCGGGCACCUCUCAUUUACCCAAGUUGAGAUUGUCUGGGUAAUCUUCCCUAGGGCCUGUAGCUAUCGCUGCAGUUCAGUUUCACCCAACUCUUGGGGAGUACCCGGAAGUCCUCGCAGUAUAGGAGGAGGCCUAUGAUAUAAUAUUUCAUAAAGGGAGUAUCCUGUUUUCUUAGAGGGGGUGCACCUAAUUUUAAACAAUACCAUAGGAAGGGCCUAUAUCCAUUUUAAUCCUGUCUCUUGACAUACUUUCCCUAAACUAUUUUUGAUAGUCCAAUUCAUUCCCUCCACCUUUCGGGAACUCUGAGGUUGGUAGGUGGCAUGUAGCUUCCAAGUGAUUCCUAAUACCUUUGCCGUCCUCUGUACUAAGUCAGCCACAGAUGCCGGCCCAUUAUCUGAGCCGAUUCGUAGAGGCAGUCCAAACCUAGGGAUGAGAUCUCGAAGAAGCACACGGGUUACUUCACAAGCUUUUUCAGUUCGUGUUGGAUAAGACUCUAUCCACCCAGAAUGCAAGUCUCCUCUACAAAAGAC